rnacentral:rRNA from 1 species
GACCGAGCAAAGGUAGNGCAAUCACUUGUCUUUUAAAUGAAGACCUGUAUGAAUGGCAUAACGAGGGCUAAGCUGUCUCCUUUCCCCAAUCAAUAAAAUUGAUCUCCCCGUGCAGAAGCGAGGAUAAUCCCAUAAGACGAGAAGACCCUGUGGAGCUUAAGACGACAAGUAGAUCAUGUUAAUAAAACCAAAUAACAGGAAAAAACUAAUUGAUCCCUACCUUUAUGUCUUUGGUUGGGGCGACCACGGAAUAACAAACAACUCCCGUAUGGAUAAAGUAUAAUCCUUACAACCAAGAGCUACAACUCUAAGUAACAAAAUUUUUGACCAAAAUGAUCCAGCAUUGCUGAUCAAUGAACCAAGUUACCCCAGGGAUAACAGCGCAAUCCUCUUCUAGAGUCCAUAUCAACGAGAGGGUUUACGACCUCGAUGUUGGAUCAGGACAUCCUAAUGGUGCAGCCGCUAUUAAGGGUUCGUUUGUUCAACGAUUAAAGUCCU